UCAGUCAAUCAAUCAUCCCUUGUACCUGGAAUAUCCUCUCCUCUUCACCUCCGCCUCUGAGAAUAUUUGGCUGUCUUUAGAACUUAGCUCAAGUGCCACCGCCUGUAGGAAGCCCUUCCAACCACUCUCUCCCAUCCAUGUUGUCAGUACUGAAGAGCCCGGCAUUCAAUAAGAUUUAAGUCUGAAAAAGAAGUCUGAAAAAGACCUGAUGACCAUGUCCUUCUUCCUCCAGCCUCUUGUCCAUAUGGUCCCAAGAAGCGGUGCCUUUUCUGAUCCCCAGGAUCUUCCACAUGGAUGGGAGUCUCUCAUCUGGCAGGGGAGCAUUAGCUACGUGAAUCUGAGAAUCUAGAAAUUGAAGCUGGAUGUUGUAGCCAGACCAACAAUGACCCUCUGGCUCUGCAGCAGGCAAUGGGGAGACACUGUGUGCCAAGGAUUCUGUGGAAUGAUUGGUAGGGGACACUCUCCAAGGUUGCAGGUAAUGAUCCAUCCAUCCCUGCCCAUCCUGUACAACUCCCCACAAGAGGUCCACCCUAUGGGGCUUCACCUGUAGAAGAAAUCAGCCCUGUCAAUGCAAAGACAAUUGUCCUUGCCUUAAAGGGGCUCACCUUCAGCUCCAUUACUACCAAGUAAAUAUCCGAAGUCCCAAAGGCAUUUCAGGAGGAGAGAGAACUAAAAAGUGG